AACUUUGCACAGUGGCAGUAUCGUAGCCAGUGGGGUUUAUCAGAGGUGUGAUUAUUGCUAAUUGAAUCUGACCCUGAGUCAUUCUAAAUCCA
rnacentral:snRNA from 1 species